UACGUAGGGCGCAAGCGUUGUCCGGAAUUAUUGGGCGUAAAGAGCUCGUAGGCGGCCUGUUGCGUCCGCUGUGAAAUCCCGGGGCUCAACCCCGGGCCUGCAGUGGAUACGGGCUGGCUAGAGGCAGGCAGGGGAGAACGGAAUUCCUGGUGUAGCGGUGAAAUGCGCAGAUAUCGGGAGGAACACCGGUGGCGAAGGCGGCGAUCUGGGUCGAUACUGACGCUGAGGUGCGAAAGCGUGGGGAGCAAACAGG
rnacentral:rRNA from 1 species